UCGUCCUGGACAUGGAAUUUCACUCAUAUGAAUUAAUAUUAAUAUCGUCUGAUUUUCACAUCAAACGAGCAUAUACUUGAAACUUGCGUGAACAGGUUCCAUGUGAAUUUUAUGAUAAUAGUUCAUGCAUAAAUCACCGGAAUUUUGUACACGUUAAAUUCACGUAAAUAUUUGAAAUAAAAUUAUUUAAAUAAUAUCUUUG
rnacentral:lncRNA from 1 species